GACGAACGCUGGCGGCGUGCUUAACACAUGCAAGUCGAACGAUGAAGCUGGAGCUUGCUCUGGUGGAAGAGUGGCGAACGGGUGAGUAACACGUGAGUAACCUGCCCAUCACUCUGGGAUAAGCGCUGGAAACGGUGUCUAAUACUGGAUAUGAACAGCGGCCGCAUGGUCAGUUGUUGGAAAGAUUUAUCGGUGGUGGAUGGACUCGCGGCCUAUCAGCUUGUUGGUGAGGUAAUGGCUCACCAAGGCGACGACGGGUAGCCGGCCUGAGAGGGUGACCGGCCACACUGGGACUGAGACACGGCCCAGACUCCUACGGGAGGCAGCAGUGGGGAAUAUUGCACAAUGGGCGCAAGCCUGAUGCAGCAACGCCGCGUGAGGGAUGACGGCCUUCGGGUCGUAAACCUCUUUUAGUAGGGAAGAAGCGGAAGUGACGGUACCUGCAGAAAAAGCACCGGCUAACUACGUGCCAGCAGCCGCGGUAAGAC
rnacentral:rRNA from 1 species